rnacentral:rRNA from 1 species
AUAUCAAUAAGCGGAGGAAAAGAAACCAACAGGGAUUGCCCCAGUAACGGCGAGUGAAGCGGCAACAGCUCAAAUUUGAAAUCUGGCCCCCGGGUCCGAGUUGUAAUUUGCAGAGGAUGCUUCGGGCGAGGUGCCUUCCGAGUUCCCUGGAACGGGACGCCACAGAGGGUGAGAGCCCCGUCUGGUCGGACACCGAGCCCGUGUGAAGCUCCUUCGAAGAGUCGAGUAGUUUGGGAAUGCUGCUCAAAACGGGAGGUAUAUGUCUUCUAAAGCUAAAUAUUGGCCAGAGACCGAUAGCGCACAAGUAGAGUGAUCGAAAGAUGAAAAGCACUUUGAAAAGAGGGUUAAAAAGUACGUGAAAUUGUUGAAAGGGAAGCGCCCAUGACCAGACUUGGGCCCGGUGAAUCACCCGGCGUUCUCGCCGGUGCACUUUGCCGGGCACAGGCCAGCAUCAGUUUGGCGCGGGGGAGAAAGGCUUCGGGAACGUGGCUCCCUCGGGAGUGUUAUAGCCCGCUGCGCAAUACCCUGCGCCGGACUGAGGUACGCGCAUCGCAAGGAUGCUGGCGUAAUGGUCAUCAGCGACCCGUCUUGAAACACGGACCAAGGAGUCGUCUUCGUAUGCGAGUGUUCGGGUGUCAAACCCCUACGCGGAAUGAAAGUGAACGCAGGUGAGAGCUUCGGCGCAUCAUCGACCGAUCCUGAUGUUCUCGGAUGGAUUUGAGUAAGAGCAUACGGGGCCGGACCCGAAAGAAGGUGAACUAUGCCUGUAUAGGGUGAAGCCAGAGGAAACUCUGGUGGAAGCUCGCAGCGGUUCUGACGUGCGAAUCGAUCGUCAAAUAUGGGCAUGGGGGCGAAAGACUAAUCGAACCUUCUAGUAGCUGGUU